rnacentral:rRNA from 1 species
AAUGGCUGCAGUAAUAUAACUGUACAAAGGUAGCAUAAUCAUUAGUUUUUUAAUUAAAAGCUUGUAUGAAAGGUUGGACGAAGUAAAAUCUGUCUCUUUUUAAUAUAAUUAGAAUUUAAUUUUUAAGUAAAAAAGCUUAAAUUUAUAUAAAAGACGAGAAGACCCUAUAGAGUUUAAUAAUUUAUUUUAAAUAAUUAAUUUAGAUUUAUUUAUUUUAUUUAUUAUAUAAUUAUUUUAUUGGGGUAAUAAAAAGAUUAAUAUAAUUCUUUUUUUUAUAUAACAUUAAUAUAUGAAUUAAAUGAUCCAUUUUUAUGAUUAAAAGAUUAAAUUACCUUAGGGAUAACAGCGUAAUUUUUUUAAAGAGUUCAUAUCGAUAAAAAAGUUUGCGACCUCGAUGUUGGAUUAAAGAUUAAUUUAGGUGUAGAAGUUUAAAUUUUUGGUCUGUUCGACCAUUAAAUCUUUACAUGAUCUGAGUUCAAACCGGUGUAAGCCAGGUUGGUUUCUAUCUUUAUAGAAUUUUUAUAUUUUAGUACGAAAGGACCAAAUAUUUAAUAUAUAAAUAUUUAAUUAUUUUGAAUAU